GGGGAAUAUUGGGCAAUGGGCGCAAGCCUGACCCAGCAACGCCGCGUGAGGGAAGAAGGCUUUCGGGUUGUAAACCUCUGUCCUUGGUGACGAAACAAAUGACGGUAGCCAAGGAGGAAGCCCCGGCUAACUACGUGCCAGCAGCCGCGGUAAUACGUAGGGGGCGAGCGUUGUCCGGAAUUACUGGGCGUAAAGGGUGCGUAGGUGGCCUUUUAAGUUGGAUGUGAAAUACCCGGGCUUAACUUGGGGGGUGCAUCCAAAACUGGAAGGCUAGAGUGCAGGAGAGGAAAGCGGAAUUCCUAGUGUAGCGGUGAAAUGCGUAGAUAUUAGGAGGAACACCAGUGGCGAAGGCGGCUUUCUGGACUGUAACUGACACUGAGGCACGAAAGCGUGGGGAGCAAAC
rnacentral:rRNA from 1 species